rnacentral:rRNA from 1 species
GGUUAAGCGACUAAGCGUACACGGUGGAUGCCCUGGCAGUCAGAGGCGAUGAAGGGCGUGCUAAUCUGCGAUAAGCGCCGGUAAGGUGAUAUGAACCGUUAUAACCGGCGAUACCCGAAUGGGGAAACCCAGUGUGAUUCGUCACACUAUCAUUAACUGAAUCCAUAGGUUAAUGAGGCGAACCGGGGGAACUGAAACAUCUAAGUACCCCGAGGAAAAGAAAUCAACCGAGAUUCCCCCAGUAGCGGCGAGCGAACGGGGAGGAGCCCAGAGCCUGAAUCAGCAUGUGUGUUAGUGGAAGCGUCUGGAAAGGCGCGCGAUACAGGGUGACAGCCCCGUACACAAAAGCGCAUGUGCUGUGAGCUCGAUGAGUAGGGCGGGACACGUGGUAUCCUGUCUGAAUAUGGGGGGACCAUCCUCCAAGGCUAAAUACUCCUGACUGACCGAUAGUGAACCAGUACCGUGAGGGAAAGGCGAAAAGAACCCCGGCGAGGGGAGUGAAAAAGAACCUGAAACCGUGUACGUACAAGCAGUGGGAGCACAGGUUUACCUGUGUGACUGCGUACCUUUUGUAUAAUGGGUCAGCGACUUAUAUUCUGUAGCAAGGUUAACCGAAUAGGGGAGCCGGAGGGAAACCGAGUCUUAAUUGGGCGUUAAGUUGCAGGGUAUAGACCCGAAACCCGGUGAUCUAGCCAUGGGCAGGUUGAAGGUUGGGUAACACUAACUGGAGGACCGAACCGACUAAUGUUGAAAAAUUAGCGGAUGACCUGUGGCUGGGGGUGAAAGGCCAAUCAAACCGGGAGAUAGCUGGUUCUCCCCGAAAGCUAUUUAGGUAGCGCCUCGUGAAUUCAUCUCCGGGGGUAGAGCACUGUUUCGGCUAGGGGGCCAUCCCGGCUUACCAACCCGAUGCAAACUGCGAAUACCGGAGAAUGUUAUCACGGGAGACACACGGCGGGUGCUAACGUCCGUCGUGAAGAGGGAAACAACCCAGACCGCCAGCUAAGGUCCCAAAGUCAUGGUUAAGUGGGAAACGAUGUGGGAAGGCCCAGACAGCCAGGAUGUUGGCUUAGAAGCAGCCAUCAUUUAAAGAAAGCGUAAUAGCUCACUGGUCGAGUCGGCCUGCGCGGAAGAUGUAACGGGGCUAAACCAUGCACCGAAGCUGCGGCAGCGACGCUGAUGCGUUGUUGGGUAGGGGAGCGUUCUGUAAGCCUGCGAAGGUGACCUGUGAGGGUUGCUGGAGGUAUCAGAAGUGCGAAUGCUGACAUAAGUAACGAUAAAGCGGGUGAAAAGCCCGCUCGCCGGAAGACCAAGGGUUCCUGUCCAACGUUAAUCGGGGCAGGGUGAGUCGACCCCUAAGGCGAGGCCGAAAGGCGUAGUCGAUGGGAAACGGGUUAAUAUUCCCGUACUUGGUGUUACUGCGAAGGGGGGACGGAGAAGGCUAUGUUGGCCGGGCGACGGUUGUCCCGGUUUAAGCGUGUAGGUGUGUGUUCCAGGUAAAUCCGGUUCACUUUAACACUGAGGCGUGACGACGAGGCACUACGGUGCUGAAGCAACAAAUGCCCUGCUUCCAGGAAAAGCCUCUAAGCAUCAGGUAACACGAAAUCGUACCCCAAACCGACACAGGUGGUCAGGUAGAGAAUACCAAGGCGCUUGAGAGAACUCGGGUGAAGGAACUAGGCAAAAUGGUGCCGUAACUUCGGGAGAAGGCACGCUGACACGUAGGUGAAGUGAUUUACUCAUGGAGCUGAAGUCAGUCGAAGAUACCAGCUGGCUGCAACUGUUUAUUAAAAACACAGCACUGUGCAAACACGAAAGUGGACGUAUACGGUGUGACGCCUGCCCGGUGCCGGAAGGUUAAUUGAUGGGGUCAGCGUAAGCGAAGCUCCUGAUCGAAGCCCCGGUAAACGGCGGCCGUAACUAUAACGGUCCUAAGGUAGCGAAAUUCCUUGUCGGGUAAGUUCCGACCUGCACGAAUGGCGUAAUGAUGGCCAGGCUGUCUCCACCCGAGACUCAGUGAAAUUGAACUCGCUGUGAAGAUGCAGUGUACCCGCGGCAAGACGGAAAGACCCCGUGAACCUUUACUAUAGCUUGACACUGAACAUUGAGCCUUGAUGUGUAGGAUAGGUGGGAGGCUUUGAAGUGUGGACGCCAGUCUGCAUGGAGCCGACCUUGAAAUACCACCCUUUAAUGUUUGAUGUUCUAACGUGGACCCGUAAUCCGGGUUGCGGACAGUGUCUGGUGGGUAGUUUGACUGGGGCGGUCUCCUCCUAAAGAGUAACGGAGGAGCACGAAGGUUGGCUAAUCCUGGUCGGACAUCAGGAGGUUAGUGCAAUGGCAUAAGCCAGCUUGACUGCGAGCGUGACGGCGCGAGCAGGUGCGAAAGCAGGUCAUAGUGAUCCGGUGGUUCUGAAUGGAAGGGCCAUCGCUCAACGGAUAAAAGGUACUCCGGGGAUAACAGGCUGAUACCGCCCAAGAGUUCAUAUCGACGGCGGUGUUUGGCACCUCGAUGUCGGCUCAUCACAUCCUGGGGCUGAAGUAGGUCCCAAGGGUAUGGCUGUUCGCCAUUUAAAGUGGUACGCGAGCUGGGUUUAGAACGUCGUGAGACAGUUCGGUCCCUAUCUGCCGUGGGCGCUGGAGAACUGAGGGGGGCUGCUCCUAGUACGAGAGGACCGGAGUGGACGCAUCACUGGUGUUCGGGUUGUCAUGCCAAUGGCACUGCCCGGUAGCUAAAUGCGGAAGAGAUAAGUGCUGAAAGCAUCUAAGCACGAAACUUGCCCCGAGAUGAGUUCUCCCUGAGACUUAGAGUCUCCUGAAGGAACGUUGAAGACGACGACGUUGAUAGGCCGGGUGUGUAAGCGCAGCGAUGCGUUGAGCUAACCGGUACUAAUGAACCGUGAGGCUUAACCUU